GUGUCAGCCGCCGCGGUAAUACGUAGAUGGCAAGCGUUGUCCGGAUUUAUUGGGCGUAAAGCGAGCGCAGGCGGUUCUUUAAGUCUGAUGUGAAAGCCCCUGGCUCAACCAGGGAGGGUCAUUGGAAACUGGAGAACUUGAGUGCAGAAGAGGAAAGUGGAAUUCCAUGUGUAGCGGUGAAAUGCGUAGAUAUAUGGAGGAACACCAGUGGCGAAGGCGACUUUCUGGUCUGUAACUGACGCUGAGGCUCGAAAGCAUGGGGAGCAAACAGGAUUAGAUACCCUGGUAGUCCAUGCCGUAAACGAUGAGUGCUAAGUGUUGGAGGGUUUCCGCCCUUCAGUGCUGCAGCUAACGCAUUAAGCACUCCGCCUGGGGAGUACGACCGCAAGGUUGAAACUUAAAUGAAUUGACGGGG
rnacentral:rRNA from 1 species